GAUGAACGCUGGCGGCGUGCCUAAUACAUGCAAGUCGAGCGAACGGACGAGAAGCUUGCUUCUCUGAUGUUAGCGGCGGACGGGUGAGUAACACGUGGAUAACCUACCUAUAAGACUGGGAUAACUUCGGGAAACCGGAGCUAAUACCGGAUGAUAUUUUGAACCGCAUGGUUCAAAAGUGAAAGACGGUCUUGCUGUCACUUAUAGAUGGAUCCGCGCUGCAUUAGCUAGUUGGUAAGGUAACGGCUUACCAAGGCAACGAUGCAUAGCCGACCUGAGAGGGUGAUCGGCCACACUGGAACUGAGACACGGUCCAGACUCCUACGGGAGGCAGCAGUGGGGAAUCUUCCGCAAUGGGCGAAAGCCUGACGGAGCAACGCCGCGUGAGUGACGAAGGUCUUCGGAUCGUAAAACUCUGUUAUUAGGGAAGAACAUAUGUGUAAGUAACUGUGCACAUCUUGACGGUACCUAAUCAGAAAGCCACGGCUAACUACGUG
rnacentral:rRNA from 1 species